AUACCAUCGUGUACGAAUGAAUAAUAUGUUUAAUAAUUGAAUUAAAUUAGUUUGCCUGUUGACCACUCCUAUCUUUUGUUUGUUGUUUAUUAUACAAAGGUUACUUGAGUUAGAUGGUAAAUUAUUUAUGUUUGUCUGAAUGGAAUGAAAGAAAACAUAAAAUAAGUCUUCUGUUUGUAAAAUGUCUGUCGUCUGCUUUUUGACAUAUUGAAAUACUUCAAAUAACCACCUUUUGUGCAAAUGAUUCACAUAAGCGUAAUUAUUGAUCGGUAAAUUGAAAUGUACAUGUAUCAAGUUACCAAAACAUGAAGUGGACGCACUUGGUUGACCUUUGUAUGACAAUACAUAAUGAGACACAGCCUAUUAUUGAAAAAGAGUAUACGUAAAACACGAGCUGCAUGAGACAAUGGAAAUAUAAAUUUGUAUAAUUAUAAAUUAGUUUAUUAGAAAGUUUUAACUGAUCUAAUGUUAGUAUACAUACUUUGAUACUGCACUUUAUACCAACUAAUUCCAUAUAAAUAUAUAUAGAUACCCUCAUCACCCUUUAUUUCUACAAUGAAAUAAUCUAUAAUCAGCUGAAGGUCAACCUUCGCGGAUAAAUUGCGACUACAAUAGUAUAAUGGAGAUAACGAUGUUUGUAUCAUAUGACUGUAGUGCAGUUUAUAUGCAUGUGACAAACACUGAAAAUAACAAUUGUUUGACAGAGAUUACUUCUUAAUUGUGAUGGAUAGUGUAGAAGGAAAGAGGAUGAGUGAUAUCUGCCAACCUUGCCAGGAGGCAAAUACAUGUACAAGGACUAAAGCGGAUGGAUUAUGCCGAGAGUGUAAGGAAUAUAUGUGCCAGACAUGUUUCCACCAUCAUCUAAAAGCAAAAUAUUGCAGAACCCAUGUGUUGCUCGAUUUAUCAGAAGCAGAACAUACACACACAAGUGGGGAAGAUGUUGAAAAAUGCGAAAAACACCAAUUCGAAACUGUCCGUUUUUACUGUCGGAAGCAUGACCAAGUAGGCUGUGGCGACUGUAUGUUAUUUAACGGACACAGUACAUGUAAUCCUGAAUAUAUAAAGGAUGUUUCAUUGAACUUUAAACAUGGGGAAGACUUUAAACAUCUGACAGAGAAGCUAGAGACUUUAGAGUCAGACAAUAAGUCUAUAGUCAUAAACAUUCAGAAGUGUAUGAAAGACAAUAAUGAGAUGGGCAGAAAACUAGUUGAUGAUGUCGAAACAUUUCGAAAAAGUAUCAAUAGUUAUUUGGAUAAAGCCCAAGCUGAUUGCUAAUCAUACGUUAACAAAUUGCAUUCGAAAAAUGAUAAUUUACUAAAAAAAAUAGAAGCUGACUGCCAGAAUGUUGUCUCAGAAAUAGAAGAGCACAAGCAAAAAUUAGACAGUGACCAUAACCCGGAUCAUAUAUUGUUCAUUCAUUCAGUUAUAGUUAAAUCUAAACUGCAGCCGAUCGAAGAUACCAUAAGCAAAAACAAGUCUUCAAGUAAAAUUGACCAUAUUGCAUUCAAACAUGGUAAGCAAUUAAGUGAAAUCGUAACAAAAUCUAAUUGCUUUGGGUGUUUCGAACAGGUGCCUUCUCGAGAAAUGGGCAUUUCCUCAGGCAUACGAGUUAACACAGCGGAUAGGGUAAUAGUGAAGAGAACCGGUACAACCACUGCUUGCAAAGACGCGAAUUCGACAUGUGUCAAAAAUCAAAACACUCGUCACACUGUCAAAGAAGCUUCUGGAAACUUUUGGAUCUUCGUCAAACUUCAGUCCACUGAUCAAACAAAAACAUAUUUCGUUGAUCCAUGUGAAACUAUUUCUGUACUCAAAGCUAAGAUUCACCACAAAGAGGGCAUCCCUGUUGACAUGGUAAAGCUGAAAUUAAUAUUACCUUUCCUUGGGAAACUACUUGACGACAAAUUCAGUAUUGGGGAUUAUGGUAUACAGAAAGGAAAUACGUUGAACUGCUUUUGGAGGUUGGAUGCGCCAUCAGAAGAAAAAACAUCAUAAUAUCAGAUCAUUUACACUAAGAAAAUAUUUACAAGCAUUUGACAUAACACUAAGUUCACUGUUAAUGUCUAAUUAUUGGUUAUACUUGUAAAAGAAUAAAAGAAAAUGAAUCUGGACGCUUGAUAUCGAUAUCACUUUUCCGCAAUGAUAAUAAUUACUGAUGAUCAAAUAAACACCAAAAAUCGUUUAUCGUUUUUAGAAAUACUAAUCAAGGUUAAAAUCACGUCAUGAUUUGUCUAGUCCAAGUCGUCAACAUGAGUGUUUCAUCUUUAUGCGUUAUUCUAAUAUGCAUGACACGCUUACGCUAGAAUGACGUCACGUUAAGGAGGAAUGAGCCUAAUUUGAAGUUCUUGAGUUCCGUUUUGAAAUUUUGUUUAAUGUAAAUUUCAGCAUAUUCCUCAUAUAAUGCGUAUUUUACAUUUUUGACAUUUCUUUAACUUUUUUUCUCUACAAACCUUCAAACACGACUAUUGACGUCCAUUUUUGAUGAACCAUGAUUUCAUGUCUGCCAGACUGUUUUCUGAAAUCGUUCUGUUCAGUCAACAAGGAUCGAUUUGCUUGUUUCUCAUUAUAAUUUCAUUAAAAAUGUCUUUGAAAUGGUGUAUAAUUUGUGGAGAUCAUUUUAACGUUGAAGUCGAUAUUUACGUUAAAGUGACGUCAGAGCGACAAAUAUGACGUUUAGUUUUGAAUAAAAAGUUUGCGUUAAUCUCAUUCGUCCUCCACAUCUGAUUUACGUGGUGAAGAUAAAAGUUAUUUGUUGAGAAUACAGAAUCCAGGAACACUGGUUAGGUUAACUGCCCACAGUAACGUAGAAAAACAGAGCUAAAAAAACAACAAAAAAACAUUUUUUCUUUUUUAUGCCAUGGAUACUCGUAUUUCUUAUGUUUCAGUAUUAUGUAUCGAGUAUGUUUCUAUUAUGUGUCUCUGAAUACAGGGAUAACAUUUGUACACACAUCUCUGGAGAACUUAAACCUCUUUGCAAAG